AUCCUGCCGACGAGUCACAAAUAGGAUGAAAUGCGCAUCCUGGAU
rnacentral:hammerhead_ribozyme from 1 species